UAGGGAAUCUUCGGCAAUGGACGAAAGUCUGACAGAGCAACGCCGCGUGAGUGAAGAAGGUGUUCGGAUCGUAAAACUCUGUUGUUAGAGAAGAACAAGGACGUUAGUAACUGAACGUCCCCUGACGGUAUCUAACCAGAAAGCCACGGCUAACUACGUGCCAGCAGCCGCGGUAAUACGUAGGUGGCAAGCGUUGUCCGGAUUUAUUGGGCGUAAAGCGAGCGCAGGCGGUUUCUUAAGUCUGAUGUGAAAGCCCCCGGCUCAACCGGGGAGGGUCAUUGGAAACUGGGAGACUUGAGUGCAGAAGAGGAGAGUGGAAUUCCAUGUGUAGCGGUGAAAUGCGUAGAUAUAUGGAGGAACACCAGUGGCGAAGGCGGCUCUCUGGUCUGUAACUGACGCUGAGGCUCGAAAGCGUGGGGAGCAAACAGG
rnacentral:rRNA from 1 species